UAGGUCGUGGUCAGUAUAACCAACUCUAGAGGAAAAGCUGGCCCGAAAAACUGGGAACCGCUACGGCCCGCUAGGGCGCCGCCGUGUUGCUACUGGUCAAGCGCAGUUACUAUUGAAAUCGCUGAAAACAAGUACAUGGAACCUUAUGCUUUGUCAUUUAAUGCAUACCUCAUGGCUUUAUGAAGGUGAUGCGUUAAGUUUACGGAAAGCGCUUGCUAAGUGCGUGUACGCAUUCGUGCAAUUCGACUUCGCCCUGCCAUCUGCUAGCCGCCUGGUUAGCUCAGGUUUCCCUACAGUAGGAAAUUGCUGGGCAGGCGGACCAGCGCACCGGAAUCGUACUGGCGAAUUCGACAAGCAAGUUACAGAAUCUGUUUAAUUGUUGCACUUUGAACAGCUGUGCCCAAUUAUGCUUUUACAAAGGCCACAGCAGAAAAACCGCCUGAUGCUGAGUAUUUCUGUGCCACGAAGCAAACAAUUAAGAGGCAAGUGCCUAAUACGGACGAAAUCGAGUGCAUGAACGCAAUGCCUACGCCUAGCCACAGCAGCUCCUUCAUGCAGACUCCGCAAGCCAAGAGGCCGUGGAGGCAAAUGCAGGCAGCCAGCACACCUAGAACAGCUACCUUGACUGCAGGUGUAUCGCCCUAGCCGCCAAAGAAACUUUUGAGGGAAAGUGACAGGCAAUGUCAACAGCCACUUCUCCAUGUAAACGAUACUCUUUCUCUCAGAUGACACUUACGCCACGCCAGCUCAUCUGUGCAGACUCCCCCAGCAAUGAUGUCGCAGAGGCACGUGCAGGUCAGAGGCAAGAAGCAGUGGCACUGGUGUCGAUAUUCACCCAAUUUCUUUCUUUUUCUUACAUUGAGGAAGCCAGCGCACCUCGAACAGCCACCUCGACUGCGGGUGUGUCAUCAGAUUCCUGUUGUGCAUAUGCUCAUAAUAAACUUUAGUAAACUUGAACUUGAUAAUAAACAUGAAGGCAAAUGGGACAUCGAUGCAUUACCUUUUUGAACAUUUAGUGUAAACAUACAAUAUAUGUUAUACCUUGCAGUGCUACAGAGCGUAUUUUGAAGCUUCCCGCUGCAUUUUGCACUUCAAAUACAUGUGUAUUGUGUGGCCCUCAAUGCAGUUAUUGUUGUAGCAGCUGCUUUGUCUGUGUAUUGCACAUUGGAUUAAGCUUGUGAUAUCCACAUGUGCAACAGGCCGAUACUUCUCUCACAUAUACCAAAUAAGGCUCUGUGUAGUUCUCAAGUGUUACAAUAAAAAUUAAAUUAAACAAUCCUUUCGUGCAAUUGUGUUUGUUACAGCGAUUCCUAUGACGUUUAUUGACAAGUUGAGAACUUGAACUGGUACAUCCGUCAUGGGAAGGAACUGUAUGUAUACAUAUAGCGAAAAAAGGGGGUAUGUGUGUGUGAUGAUGUUUUGACAAGUUCUGUUGGUUAAAGCAAUACAUGCCAGUUUAGCUCUUGUCACUAUCAAUACGCAUUACCGCAAUACAGAAGAUGCCUCGCUACAGCACACGUCCUCCAUAGUUAGCCGAGACCCUAGGUGACAGGUUCACCCUUGCCGCUUUUAGCUUAUCUCUGGAAAACACAGUGUAUUACAGUGAAACAUACUACAGCACAUUUAUCAGUUUAGAAUGCAAAGACCUUUGCCUUCUGCUUUUGUGAUACACUAGGUAUAAUGAGGACAUAUUCACUGCUAAAAACAUCCAUACUGAAAUGAAGAACACUGAUGUCAGCAUGUGUGAUGUUUUAUCCUUUUCUUUUGUUGUGUACGUCAUACUGCCAUUAUUAAAUUUUCCUCUAAUUUGAAAGGUGCCGACGUGCAUAACAUCACAUUGCAAGGAGUCUGUGUAAUUAGUGUUCAAAGACCAGUGUGAUGGCUUUUCUGAAGAGAGGUUGGGGUUAAGCUGCUGUUAAUAUUUUUUUUAGAAGGGUAGUUUUCCAUGAAGAAAUCGCAUAUCAGAAAACAGACCUGUGGUAAGCUGGGUUUGAGCAUGUAAUGGUGGAAAUGAUGCAGAAUACAUUAAUAUAUUUUUUUUUGCCUGAAACCAAGAACUAGCUGAAAUAUGUGAAAUAUCUUAAAUAGCAUCCAUGAGCAACUGCAAGCUGCGCACACCUAGACUCGAAACACAAUUCUCUUGCUUCAGUCCAAGGAGGUUUUUGCUGCUUUGUUGAAACCUCAAGUACAUUCUCAGUGGCACAGUAAUUUCUGUCUACCUUUCGCUCAAGUGUGCCCUAUACAUAAGAGCGAUUUAUACUUGCAACUGGGCAGCAGCCUUACCUUGGCAAACCAGUGGGAGGGCAUAUUUUCUAAAACUAUGUGACGCAUAGCAUUACUAAUCUGAGCAGAGAAGUGUUUAAAUAUGAGUCACCUUAAAUACCCUUUAAUAAAUAUCUCUAGCACAUUAAGAUCCUAGAUUUUAAAUGCUGUAUAAGUUGUCUUCUUGUUCACGGCAGUUGCAGUCGGCUCCUGUCCAAAUGUGAGCGCACUUAUGCAUAGCUCAUAAGAGAAAAUAUUUAUUCACAUACCUUUUUUUUUAACUCGCCUACAAUCAAGAUGAAUCUGCUGUGCAUGAACGUAACUUGCAUUGCCACAUUCAACAGCACAGUACAUGUAGCUCGUGUUGGUUCAUUCAAACUAUGCAUUAUUACAGCCUUUAACUGUAUAUAUUAUGGUGUGAGAGCAGACAAAUGGAUAUGCAAAGGCAGUUGGGCACGCUAAAACAGCAUCAUUUUCUAUGUGAAAAGGUGACAUACACAAAAUGAGACAGAACACAUGCGCUUUCAUCUUUUCUUGCACACAAAAAAGCUGGAGCAAUAAGGCCUUUUUCACUGUGCCAUCAUUGUUCUCAAAGGCAAUUCUUAUUUAUUGGAUUACCUCUUACGUCAUGUUUAUUUUCUUGAGUGAUUGUUUACACGUUAAUGUUUCAAACUUGUUUUUAUUUUCACAGACUGAACAUACCAUGUAUUGGAUUGACUUCCCUGUAGCGCUCGUGAGCAUUUUAAGGAACAGCAUUGAACCCUUUGUACUGGUGCACUGGUAAAAUAUAUACAUGCAACAAAAUUGAAAUAUAAGGCGAAAUAGCAAACACCAAUGCUUGAUGCAGCACUACUCAGACUCGUAUUUCAGCAAUUUUUGCAUAAAACAAUAUACUGAGAGCAUACUAGCACUAGCACAUCAUCU